AAAGGAAUAGACGGGGGCCCGCACAAGCAGUGGAGUAUGUGGUUUAAUUCGAAGCAACGCGAAGAACCUUACCAGGGCUUGACAUCUACCGAAGCUCAAGAGAUUGAGUGUGCCUUCGGGAACGGUAAGACAGGUGGUGCAUGGUUGUCGUCAGCUCGUGUCGUGAGAUGUUGGGUUAAGUCCCGCAACGAGCGCAACCCCUAUUGUUAGUUGCCAUCAUUGAGUUGGGCACUCUAAUGAGACUGCCGGUGACAAAUCGGAGGAAGGUGGGGACGACGUCAAAUCAUCAUGCCCCUUAUGUCCUGGGCUACACACGUACUACAAUGGCCGUUAACAACGGGAAGCAAAGCCGCGAGGCGGAGCAAAUCCCCAAAAACGGUCUCAGUUCGGAUCGCAGGCUGCAACCCGCCUGCGUGAAGUUGGAAUUGCUAGUAAUCGCGAAUCAGCAUGUCGCGGUGAAUACGUUCCCGGGCCUUGUACACACCGCCCGU
rnacentral:rRNA from 1 species